rnacentral:rRNA from 1 species
UCGCCUGUUUAACAAAAACAUCGCCUCUUGAACCCUAUAAGAGGUCCAGCCUGCCCAGUGACUCUGUUCAACGGCCGCGGUAUCCUAACCGUGCGAAGGUAGCGUAAUCACUUGUUCUUUAAAUGCGGACUAGUAUGAAUGGCACCACGAAGGUUAUACUGUCUCCUUUUUCUAAUCAGUGAAACUAAUCUCCCCGUGAAGAAGCGGGGAUGAAAUUAUAAGACGAGAAGACCCUAUGGAGCUUUAAACAACAUAGCACUUGCCACACAUUAUUAAAAUUCCAGAAUCUUUAACUACCUUAGGCAACAUGACUGUAAGUUUUUGGUUGGGGUGACCGCGGAGCAUAACACAACCUCCAUGUUGAAAGAAUCUUUUUCUAAGCUAAGAAUUACAACUCUAAGCAUCAAUACAUUGACAUCCAUUGACCCAAUAUACUUGAACAACGAACCAAGUUACCCUAGGGAUAACAGCGCAAUCCACUUCAAGAGCUCCUAUCGACAAGUGGGUUUACGACCUCGAUGUUGGAUCAGGGUUUCCCAGUGGUGCAGCCGCUACUAAAGGUUCGUUUGUUCAACGAUUAAAACCCUACGUGAUUGAGUUCAGACCGGA